ncrna:unclassified sequences FuFi-1 RNA
CUUACCAGCGAGAAGGCCAUGCGCAGAACCAAAACUGCGAAAGUGGUAAGGCUCCUGAAGAACCUGUAGCGCUAUUGCAGGCGGCGAAAGCCUGCAAGGGGCAUUGGGUAAACAAAUUUGGACAUUGGCCGGUGGGAAUAGCGCUCCUGCCGGUCUUAU